rnacentral:rRNA from 1 species
GACGAACGCUGGCGGCGUGCCUAAUACACGCACGUUGAGCGCUGAAGGUUGGUACUUGUACCGACUGGAUGAGCAGCGAACGGGUGCGUAACGCGCGGGGAAUCUGCCUUUGAGCGGGGGGCAACAUUUGGAAACGAAUGCUAAUACCGCAUAAAAACUUUAAACACAAGUUUUAAGUUUGAAAGUUGCAAUUGCAUCACUCAAAGAUGAUCCCGGGUGGUAGUAGCUAGCUGGUGAGGCAAAGACUCACCAAGGCGAUGAUACAUAGCCGACCUGGGAGGGUGGUCGGCCACAUUGGGACUGAGACACGGCCCAAACACCUACGGGAGGCAGGAGUGGGGAAUCUUCGGCAAUGGACCAAAGUCUGACCGAGCAACGCCGCGUGAGUGAAGAAGAUUUUCGGAUCGUAAAGCUCUGUUGGUAGAGAAGAACGUUGGUGAGAGUGGAAAGCUCAUCAAGUGACGGUAACUACCCAGAAAGGGACGGCUAACUACGUGCCAGCAGCCGCCGUAA